rnacentral:rRNA from 1 species
ACGAACGCUGGCGGUGUGCUUAACACAUGCCAGUCGAACGGUAAGGCCCUUUCGGGGGUACACGAGUGGCGAACGGGUGAGUAACACGUGAGUAACCUGCCCUCAUCUCUGGGAUAACAGUCGGAAACGGUUGCUAAUACUGGAUAUGAGCUUGCAAGGCAUCUUGUGGGUUGGAAAGAUUUUUUUUGGUUGGGGAUGGACUCGCGGCCUAUCAGCUUGUUGGUGAGGUAGUGGCUCACCAAGGCUUCGACGGGUAGCCGGCCUGAGAGGGCGACCGGCCACAUUGGGACUGAGAGACGGCCCAAACUCCGACGGGAGGCAGCAGUGGGGAAUAUUGCACAAUGGACGGAAGUCUGAGGCAGCAACGCCGCGUGCGGGACGACGGCCUUCGGGUUGUAAACCGCUUUCAAUUGUGACGAAGCUUUUUUGUGACGGUAGCAGUAGAAGAAGCACCGGCUAACUACGUG